rnacentral:tRNA from 1 species
AUAGGAGGGGACUGCUUUAACCGCCAAGCUACCCAGAC